CUCUCUCCAGGUGUUGCCUGUUCAACAAGCACCAGGCGAACAUUGACUCAUUUGUCACGCACUGCUCCAGGGUAUGCAUGUCACUCGUGUUGUUGUGCGUGGGCGUCUCAUUUCUUGUAGUGAAAUGCAGCCACAUCCAGAUCCACGGACACAACGGAGGUUGACAACGUCUGUUGUCUCUCUCUCUCUCUUUUCUUUUUUUGGCAAUUUGUGCCUCAAGUUGGGUGGAGAUUCUGGCUGGAAAGAUUUAUGUACUAAUGGACCCAUAUCGCUUUACCACAUCGGUGUGGUUUUCUUCAUGCCUCUGCAGGCGGAGAAGGUGGACGCAGCGCUGCAUAGUUUGCCUCAGCGGCAGCAUCUAGCCUGUCUCGGCACCUGGAUCCUCUACCACAACCUGAGGAUCAUGAUCGCAUGGUGAACCGUAUACCGAAGGUGGCCAAACCCAACAGCUAUGAACCUCCUGGCUGGAGGACACAAGAAGGAGACCAAGAGGCUACGCCUGGUACGAUGGAAGAAGAGCAGACGAGGAGUUGUGUCAGCAAUUCGGUUGCAGACAAUCAAUCAGAUCAAUUGAGCACAUGUGAGAUGGAAAAAAAGUCUUUGGAUUUAAAAUGAAUAAAAAAGAACUCACCAGCAAGCACCAAAACAACAAAGCAAAGCUUCAUCAUGGUCCCUCUGCGUGUGGAUCACUUCAGGUGGUGACCGUUCGAUACUUCAGCUUUUUUAUAGUGAGUCUCAGGUGUUGGAGAGGGGUGUUUAUCGGCUGGUCUCUUGGGCGACGUGGAUGUGCUCGAAAGCUAUAGGUGGCCCUCAGCACCCUCCCCACACCCCAACACCUAUUCAAACACCUGUUAUGGCAGUAAAGUGAAGUGUGAGGGUGGGACGAGGAGAGUGCUGGGGAGGAUCCAAGGAGUGUAUGAAAAUACUGUGCACACUGGCACCAGGUCACAUCACCUUUUAUGCUUUGUGUGUGUGGGGGGGAUUCAUACGUUUUAGAAUUCCUUUAUGGUUAUUUUUUUUUUCCAAAACCUUAAAUUAGAACUUCGAACUGUUCAAGAAAAGCCUCUUGAUCUCUACAUUUGGUAUCAUUGCUUCAGAUUUGUGUCUCACACUGUGUGACAACAUGUCAGUGCGCUGCUUAAUUAUCGUAUGACAUCCAGUUUUUAACAGAGUACACCGCCAAUUGGUCUGGAGUCCUUCUGCUGAAUGCAAGACGACUUGUGUUGUAAUCAGUCUACGGAGGAAUUUGUGUUUACACAGUUUCCAUAUACUAGUAGUAUGAUUAAAUUAGUGACAUCCCAGUUACCCUGUAAUAAUGCUCCGCGCCACUAGUUGGAUUAAACAUCACCACGUAAUAACAUAAGCAAUUAUAUGGGAUAGAAUAUGUAGCACAUCUGUAAGAAAAAAAGUGUUUUAAUGCAAGACCUUCAGUUUAUUGUUGAAUAAAUGUGUGGUAGAACAAGUUAAACCCACUUUUGCAAUAUUCCCUCUGUCUGAUAUUCAUAGAAAUACCACCAUGCUUAGGUGUUCCCCAUUUGGGCCCUGUAAUAAUGCUCUGUGCUAUUACGUGGGAGCCUUCUCUGCCGCUGCUGCUCGCUGCCACCCCCCUCCAGACACUGCUCCGAGCCCAACACUUUUAAAUUCCUUUUAAAAACCCAACUCUUUUAACGUUUAGCUACUUUACAGCGUUCAUUUUAGCUGUUCUCAAUUUCGAUUUAUUGUUAUACUUAAUGUGCUUUGUCUUAUGUUGCGUUCGUAAAGUGUCUUUGAGUUUUGAAAAGCGCUAUAUACCUAAAAUGUAUUAAUAUUAUUUAUAUGGGACAGUAUCUGUAGCACAUCUGUGAGGAAAAAAAGGGUUUUAAUGCAAGACUUUCAGUUUGUUGUGCAAUGGUAAAAAUAAAAACAACUUUCAAAUGCAAUAUUCCCGCCGUCUGAUAUUCAUACGAAUACCACCACGCCAUGCUUAGGUGUUCCUCAUUUGACUGCAAUCGUUUCUUAUUUGCAUAUCUGUUGAAAUUACGGUCAACUGAAUAGGGAUGGUAGUGGUGUUAUGCUGAGGGCGAGUUUUAUGAGGGGUUUAUCCAGAAGACAGUUUUACCUAAGGUAAAUUAGGACUCUUCUCUAGUUUGGGGAACCAUAAGGACUUGAGAACCGGCACUGAACCCAAACGAUGAACUCAUAAAACUUUUAAGAACCCUGUGAGAUUUUUUCUAAAUCAGGAGUUGACUUUCAAAUGUUAUAAACAUUUAACUAAUUUAAUUGGACUAGUAAAUGAAUACUGUCCAAAAUACUAUCGCUGUUAAUCUUAUGCACUGCGUAUAGGUUACAUCAUUGUGAGGCCGCGACAGUUUGUUUUCUUUUAACAUUUAUUACAAAUAAAGUUUGCAAGCAAUCAAUGAAUCGCACAAGAAGCUGUUCCUUGACAGUAGUAAUAAAAACACUUUAUUCUCUGUUGUCCAUAAACGCUAUGAUUAUUUAAACAUUUUUGUAAAUUUGUUCAGCAAAUUAGGAUCAAAUAAAAAUACAAACUCUCACGUAUUAUUGCCAACAAAACAAAAGUUAAGCAUUUUAUAAUAAAAAAAAAAAAAUCAUAAAAACUUUUCUCUCCAGGUGCAUAUAACUGUAGUUCAGAAAAUGGGACUUUUUACAAGCAGGCAGACGACGCUUUCUGACGAGACAAUGGAGUCAGACAAUGAGACGGCAAUAAAAUUACAUUUAAAAAAAAAAAAAAAAAA